rnacentral:rRNA from 1 species
CAGCAGCCGCGGUAAUACGGAGGGUGCAAGCGUUAAUCGGAAUUACUGGGCGUAAAGCGCACGCAGGCGGUCUGACAAGUCAGAUGUGAAAUCCCCGGGCUUAACCUGGGAACUGCAUUUGAAACUGUCAGGCUGGAGUCUUGUAGAGGGGGGUGGAAUUCCAGGUGUAGCGGUGAAAUGCGUAGAGAUCUGGAGGAAUACCGGUGGCGAAGGCGGCCCCCUGGACAAAGACUGACGCUCAGGUGCGAAAGCGUGGGGAGCAAACAGGAUUAGAGACCCCUGUAGUCCCUGUCUCUUAUAA